GAGGAAUAUUGGUCAAUGGGGGCAACCCUGAACCAGCCAAGUCGCGUGAAGGAUGAAGGUCUUAUGGAUUGUAAACUUCUUUUAUACGGGAAUAAAGUGGGGGACGUGUCCCCCUUUGCAUGUACCGUAUGAAUAAGGAUCGGCUAACUCCGUGCCAGCAGCCGCGGUAAUACGGAGGAUCCGAGCGUUAUCCGGAUUUAUUGGGUUUAAAGGGUGCGCAGGCGGGAUGUUAAGUCGGCGGUGAAAUUUUGCAGCUCAACUGUAAAAGUGCCUUCGAUACUGGCCUCCUUGAGUGUGGAUGAAGUAGGCAGAAUUUGUGGUGUAGCGGUGAAAUGCUUAGAUAUCACGAGGAACUCCGAUUGCGCAGGCAGCUUACUAAACCACAACUGACGCUCAUGCACGAAGGCGUGGGGAUCAAAC
rnacentral:rRNA from 1 species